GACGAACGCUGGCGGCGUGCCUAAUACAUGCAAGUAGAACGCUGAAGGAGGAGCUUGCUUCUCUGGAUGAGUUGCGAACGGGUGAGUAACGCGUAGGUAACCUGCCUGGUAGCGGGGGAUAACUAUUGGAAACGAUAGCUAAUACCGCAUAAUAGUAGAUGUUGCAUGACAUUUACUUAAAAGAUGCAAUUGCAUCACUACCAGAUGGACCUGCGUUGUAUUAGCUAGUUGGUGGGGUAACGGCUCACCAAGGGAACGAUACAUAGCCGACCUGAGAGGGGAUCGGCCCACCUGGGAACUGGGAAACGCCCCAACUCCCUACGGGGGGCGCAGGAGGGAAUCUUUCGCAAUGGACGAAAGUCUGAACGGGCAAAGCCGGGGGAGGGAAGGAGGGUUUCGGAUCGUAAAGCUCUGUUGUAAGAGAAGAAAGAGUGGGAGAGUUGAAAGUUCACACUGUGACGGUACCUUACCAGAAAGGGACGGCUAACUACGUG
rnacentral:rRNA from 1 species